UACGGAGGGAGCUAGCGUUGCUCGGAAUUACUGGGCGUAAAGCGCACGUAGGCGGUCUUUUAAGUCGGGGGUGAAAUCCUGGAGCUCAACUCCAGAACUGCCUUCGAUACUGGAAGACUCGAGUCCGAGAGAGGUGAGUGGAACUGCGAGUGUAGAGGUGAAAUUCGUAGAUAUUCGCAAGAACACCAGUGGCGAAGGCGGCUCACUGGCCCGGUACUGACGCUGAGGUGCGAAAGCGUGGGGAGCAAACAGG
rnacentral:rRNA from 1 species